rnacentral:rRNA from 1 species
GAUGAACGCUGGCGGCGUGCCUAGUACAUGCAAGUCGAGCGAACGGACGAGAAGCUUGCUUCUCUGAUGUUAGCGGCGGACGGGUGAGUAACACGUGGAUAACCUACCUAUAAGACUGGGAUAACCUCGGGAAACCGGAGCUAAUACCGGAUAAUAUUUUGAACCGCAUGGUUCAAAAGUGAAAGACGGUCUUGCUGUCACUUAAAGAUGGAUCCGCGCUGCAUUAGCUAGUUGGUAAGGUAACGGCUUACCAAGGCAACGAUGCAUAGCCGACCUGAGAGGGUGAUCGGCCACACUGGAACUGAGACACGGUCCAGACUCCUACGGGAGGCAGCAGUAGGGAAUCUUCCGCAAUGGGCGAAAGCCUGACGGAGCAACGCCGCGUGAGUGAUGAAGGUCUUCGGAUCGUAAAACUCUGUUAUUAGGGAAGAACAUAUGUGUAAGUAACUGUGCACAUCUUGACGGUACCUAAUCAGAAAGCCACGGCUAACUACGUG